rnacentral:lncRNA from 1 species
AGUCAUUAAUUUUAAGGGUUAAUUACAUACUGCUCUCUCUAUAAACAUAUCCAAUAGCAGAUAUAUCUCUGUAAAGUUCAACUUUUUAUCUUUAAUCCUACAAAGAUUUUAACGUGUUCAAAUAUACCUCUGCAUGUAGGAUCCGUUAGAAAAAUAUAGUUAAUCAUUAGAAAAAUACUUAACCUGAUUAAUGAAUGAGUGAAAUUGACCUUUUUACCGCUUUUAUAUUAUUAGAUAAAAUAUUUUUUUGAGAGGACAUUUCUUCAUAUAUAGAUCUAACAAAUAGGAGCUUUUGAAGAGAUAUAUUUAUAACGGUAAAAAUAUCACUUCACUUAUCUACUAUUAAAAAAUAAAUAGUACUCCAACGCUAACAAAUUCCAGAUGAGCAAAUAUAAAUAUCGCUGGGCUUUUGUAGAAAUAAAAAUAAAAAGUUGAACUUUGUGGUGAUAUAUUUGCUAUUCGAUAUGUUUAUAAGGAGCUGUAUGCAAUUAACCCUAAUUUUAAAU